rnacentral:lncRNA from 1 species
AUCUAUUGGUUGGAUUGGAGUAAAACUUGUGUGAGAGGAUAUUAGACUUGUUUUUCUAUGUGUAUGAGAAUUUUGAGAUCAAUUGAAAGGUGCAAAGGAGAGAUAUUGGCUCUGAAAGAUUGGAAUUAAGAUUGGAGAAGGAGGCCGGCCAAUACCCGAUUACAUUUUUGAGGAUAUCGUCAAUUUGGUAACUCCGAUCCUUAUCAAAUUUUUUUUGCUUGUUUUUAACUUAGUUUUUUAGAAUUGUGCAAAAUUUGAGUUAAGAUCAACGGUUUAUUCAUUAGUUAUUGAGGUUUAAGAUUGUUGUAGGAAUUAUUAGGAUUUGGUUUAGGGUUUGGUUAGGAUUUGGUUUGGGGUUUAGGAUUUGGAUUAGGGUUUGAUUUAGGAUUUAGGGUUUGGUUUAGGGUUUAGGAUUUGGAUUAGGGUUGGGUUUAGGAUUUAGGAUUUGGAUAGGAUUUGAUUUAGGAUUUAGGAUUUGGAUUAGGGUUUGAUUUAGGGUUUAGGAUUUGGAUAGGAUUUGAUUUAGGAUUUAGGAUUUGAUUAGGAUUUGGUUUAAAAUUUAGGAUUUAGAUUAGGGUUUGGUUUAGGAUUUAGGAUUUAUCUAGGGUUUGAUUAAGGUUGGAUUAGGAUUAAGAUUUGGUUAGAAUUUAAGGUUCUAUUAGAUUUUUGUUAGGAUUUGACUAAGUUUUCUUUAAUAUUCUUUUAUAUUUCUUUAGGAUUUCCUUGUGUUUCUUUUAUAACUUCAAUAAAAUUUAAUUGAGCUUGCUUAAUGUUUGAUUAUGAUUGUUAAUAUUUAAUUGUAAAUUCUCUAUAAUCCUAUUAGAUUGUUAG